CCCGCGGUUGGGGUAGACGAUGACUGGUCAACUCUUGCGCAGUGGAGUGGAGCACGCCACGCACUACCCAAUUUGAGUCGCUAUGCUCCGUUGCUCAGCUAUUUUCAGUCUUAAACUUUUUGCUCAAACCCAACCCGAUCUACAUUUAAGAGCACGAUUAAAUCACAUCACAUUUAAAUAUAGACAUUCGACACCAGUUUAUUUAUAUUUAAUGAUUUUAUAACUAAUUUAGGUGGACCAGUAGUAUUAUUAAAUACAAUUAUUCUUCCUUAUGGCCGCCAUUUGAGACUAUUUCGAAGCUACGUAGUAACUUAAAAAUGGCAAUGUAUUUUGUUUACGAUCUCCGGUUUAAUUUGUGUACACGGAUACAACGUAAUAAUGUCGUCAAUUCAUCUCUAUAGCGUAAGCAUCCAUCUUAGUCAGCGUCGUAACUUGCAAUGCAUAACCGCGCGCUGCGAGUGUUGGCCGCGGGCAAGAAGUCGAACGUCGCGCGUGACGUCACUCGCCAUUUAACACGCUCUAUGCCAACAUUCUUCGACGUCGUCGGUAAAAUGAGGUUAGGCGGAUAACAUACAAAUCUGAACAAGUCUAGUAAAUUGUUACAAUCGAUUCUCGGUGUCUGUUUAAUGUUUAAUAGUUCCUCUCGAUUAUCCGCCGUCGAAAUGUCACAGGAGCACGCGAUGACCUCACUCAGAUGUUACAUCUUGACAUUUAGGCGCUGCCUACCUACUUAUACAUCUACAUAGAUACACUUUCGACAAUCUCAACGACCGUGCCGGAAGACACGCAGUGGGAAAAUCCCUCGAAGAAAUAAUAAGCCGAACACAAAUAUCCAAAAUUAUGCAAUAUGUUGUCAUGUGUUGUUGACGCAACGCUUGUUUUCGUGGGUCGUGCUAAGUGUGCCGCGACCAUUACGGUCAGCCGGUGGCCCACUGAGCCUUGCUAUGACAUAACUGAGCUUCCGCCACCGUUCGCUCAGUGAAAGGUACGUUUUAACUCACAUAAACUACCGAGUUACCGAGCUAAGACGCGCGACGACGACGCUCCAGCCCACCAUUGAGGUUUUUGUACUAAGUAAAAUAGUCAACAGCACAACAGCCAGCCACUCGUCGCACCAGUUUAACGACUCCACAACAAAAAGACUUUAAGGAGCUCUUAAAAGGUUGUGCUCUAAGGAUGCCGGUGGAGUAACGCCUGCAAUUAUAACAUCGUUACGAUGAUUAGGCACAAUAACUCGGUACAUGAAGAUACAUAACUGCGUGCCUAUUGGAUAUCAGUUCGGUUAUAUAAUAUUACGACUACUCCAAAAGUGGUAGGCAGAGCACUAUAGUACACCAAUUCGCUGGUCAUGUAACAGCAAACGAAAGUAGAAUUAGAUACUGAGAGUUUCUAAAUCGGAAAUCCAAUUUCCCGGACCGGGUAUGUAAUCGGGUAUCUAGGCGUUUUUGCAACCACCAGGCCAGCGAGACAGUCUGUGGUUCAAUUACAUUGGAUGAAUAAAUUGAAUACAAGUUUCCUCGCUGUAAUGUCUGUGUCGCAACGCGAGUCAGUCGUCGGGUCGCUCGGCGAGCCCGACACUUAUCAGAACAAACUGCCGGCUUGUAAUUUGUAGCAGCCCUAAUAUUGUCAUUGGAAAUCGUAAUUAAGUACUAAACGCAUUUACUAGCAAAACUGUACGUUGUAUUUUAACUAUGCGGGCGUUCUAGUUACCUUGAAGUCAAGUUAAGUUCUAUGCUAGCUAUUAUGAACAUUAAUGUUCAAACUAAGUUUCAAUUUCAAACGAGUCUCAGUUAAAUUCUCUCGAUUGUACAAAAAGUCAAAGCAAUUUUCCGCAUUUAAAUAAAUUGUUAAGUAAUCGAAAAGAAAGCCUGUAAUUUGAUAAGGAAAUAACUUGCGAUGUCGACUCGUUGGUUUGUGAGUAUUGUAUAAAAUAAAUGUGUUUAAAACA